CCUACGGGAGGCAGCAGUGGGGAAUAUUGGGCAAUGGGCGCAAGCCUGACCCAGCAACGCCGCGUGAAGGAAGAAGGCUCUCGGGUUGUAAACUUCUUUUCUCAGGGACGAAGCAAGUGACGGUACCUGAGGAAUAAGCCAUGGCUAACUACGUGCCAGCAGCCGCGGUAAUACGGAAGGGGCAAGCGUUAUCCGGAUUUACUGGGUGUAAAGGGCGUGUAGGCGGGAAAGCAAGUCAGAUGUGAAAACCACGGGCUCAACCUGUGGCCUGCAGUUGAAACUGGUUUUCUUGAGUACUGGAGAGGCAGACGGAAUGCGUGGUGUAGCGGUGAAAUGCGUAGAUAUUAGGAAGAACACCGGUGGCGAAGGCAGUCUGCUGGACAGCAACUGACGCUGAGGCGCGAAAGCGUGGGGAGCGAACAGGAUUAGAUACCCGAGUAGUC
rnacentral:rRNA from 1 species